rnacentral:piRNA from 1 species
UGGACAUUACUCAACCCUCUCAACAAGUGA